rnacentral:rRNA from 1 species
CCUACGGGUGGCAGCAGUAGGGAAUAUUGCACAAUGGGGGAAACCCUGAUGCAGCAACGCCGCGUGGGCGAUGAAGGCUUUCGGAUUGUAAACCCCUGUUGUUAGAGAAGAUAAUGACGGUAUCUAACGAAUAAGCACCGGCUAACUCCGUGCCAGCAGCCGCGGUAAUACGGAGGGUGCUAGCGUUACUCGGAAUCACUGGGCGUAAAGAGCGCGUAGGCGGGUUAGCAAGUCAGAUGUGAAAUGCUAAGGCUUAACCGUAGUACUGCAUUUGAAAUUGGUAUACUAGAGUACAGGAGAGGUGAGUGGAAUUCUUGGUGUAGCGGUGAAAUGCGUAGAGAUCAAGAGGAAUACUCAUUGCGAAGGCGACCUGCUGGACCGUAACUGACGCUGAGGCGCGAAAGCGUGGGGAGCAAACAGGAUUAGAUACCCUAGUAGUC